rnacentral:tRNA from 1 species
CGGCUUGUGGCGGAAUUGGCAGACGCACCGGAUUUAGGUUCCGGCGCCUUAUGGCGUGUGAGUUCGAGUCUCACCGGGCCGACCA